rnacentral:rRNA from 1 species
CAAUAGCGUAUAUUAAAGUUGUUGCAGUUAAAAAGCUCGUAGUUGGAUUUCUGGUAGGAGCGACCGUGCCGAACUUGAUUGUUCGAGUAUUGUGUUGUCUUCAGCCAUCCUCGUGGAGAACUUUUCUAACAUUAACUUGUUGGGAUUGGGACCCGCGUCGUUUACUGUGAAAAAAUUAGAGUGUUUAAAGCAGGCAUUAGCUUGAAUACAUUAGCAUGGAAUAAUAAGAUAGGACUUUGGUACUAUUUUGUUGGUUUGCAUACCAAAUUAAUGAUCAACAGGAACAGUUUGAGGAUAUUCGUAUGAACAUGUCAGAGGUGAAAUUCUUGGAUUUUGAUCAGACGAACUACUGCGAGAGCAUUUAUCAAGGAUGUUUUCAUUAA